GGAUUGCAGGCAUGAGCCACUGCACCAAGCCUCAAAUUAUAUUUCAAUUUGACAGGUGAGUCAGUUCAAAAACCAAGAUUUAAGCAUUAAAGAAGCCAUUAAGAAUUUGGAGGUGGAGCCACCUUAUUUUUCGUUAAGUUUUCAAUUAAAUGUUUUAUGGGGGUAGAAGUUAUAGGAGUAUUCGUCUGCACUGUCUUUGAAUCCUUUGUUAUUUUCAGGCCAUUCUGUUAUUUCCAGGUCUUAUGCCUCCUAAUUCUCUUUUAUGAUAGUUUGUCUCUUCAUAUGGUUUGCAAUUUUUUAUUAUGAGCUCAUCGUUAGAAAGUUCUUUCCUCCUGAGGAGGUUCUAGGGAUCUGGCAGAGGUAAAUUGUCUCCACAAGGCAGUUUUAUAUCAAUAUCUACUAAUGCCCCAGGGUUUUCGAUGUCCCUGUGCUAAUUUUUAUUCAGCUGAGGGGUCUGCCCCCCAACAGAUAGUAUAAAUUUGGCCUCUAAUGUGCAUGUUCAGACCUGUAUUUUCAGUGGUUCUUAACUGACUUUUGGUUACUCAAAACAAGCUCAAACCAACUGCCUCUCUGGGCUACUCUUUGAGUUUCCACUUGUUAUUUUUUAUGACCCUUUGUCACUAUUGAGCUACCAUUUAUUGAGUACUUACUAUGUGCCAGAUCUUUGGCAGACACCGUUCUAUAAAGACCCCUCUGCUCUACCCACUGGGCAAAUAUCAGUAGGCUCCACUCAUUUCUUGUACCUGUCCUUACCACUAUUUUAAAGGCAUUGUUUACUUCAGGCCAUUAUAGCCAUAAGAAAAGGAUUUGCUGAGAACAACUGAACCUGCACUUUGGAAUUAAUAUAUGCAGCAUAACCGUUUAGCUAUUUACACAUGGUAGGUCAUGGGGUGUAGGAUGGUAUAUAGUGUGAUUCUAAUAUUGACACCCAGUCAUUUCCCACUAAGAUUUAAGAGAAACCCUUAGUCCAGAGUUACUAGAGUCGUGUGUCAUGCUAUAGUCUGUCUCCAUUUCCAUGAUUCGUGCUGCUCUACCUGGAUAAAGUUUGGACUGAUAGCUUUAGCAUUAGAAUAUAUGUAUAUGAUUUGCAAAGGGUUUUUUGUUGUUCUCACUGCAGUGGUUCAACACUCAGGUACUGAAGUGCGUUAAAUGAUUUGCCAUUUUCCAAACUCUCCAUUCUUCUCAGUCUUUGCACGUGGAAUUUCUCUACCUGGAUUCCCACCCUAACCUUUCUGUCUGACAACCUCCUAUAUUCCCUUUAAGACCCAGUUCAAAUGGAGCCUCAUUUGUGAUACCCACCCUCAGUCUCCAGCGAAUCCAUUCUUCCUCUCCACUCCCAAAGUGCUUUCUGCAUAAUCACAACAGGAUUCCAAGUAUUUGCAGUUAUGUCUAUUUCUCCCAUUAAAUAUGAGCUCCCUUGAAGGAAGGGAAUGUGUUUAUCAUUUCUGUAUGUGUAUCAUUUCUGUAUCUUCAGCAAGUAGAAGUACUUGGCACGUAGCAAGUGAUCAAGAAAUGAUUGGGGGAGUAAAUAAAUAAAGGCUAAUUGUUUCUCUUUCAUCAACUGUGUUUCUAUGUUUCUGGUUAUUUCCACUUGUUUUUGUUAUUAUAUAAACAUGCGUAAUGCAGGAAGUACUGGGGAUAUGUCUCUUCUACCAUGUCACUGCUGAUGACUUUUGCAAAAUGCCCAUGAAUGCCUUCCACAAAACAACCUUCUGCAACUAUGGUGGAGACAGUUUUAUAGAAUUUAUCAAUUUGGAUGAAGGUCUCUGGCCGUUUAACUGUCUCAUGCUCAUGACUCAUGGUUAAACUCAUAAGAGCCCCUGUGAUCCCAGUCAAAGGCUGGAGCAGAUGAAAUCUAUGACACACCCCAUUAAGAGCUGCUGAGUUAUACACAUCAUUCCAGGAGGCCCUGAAGCCUAGCAGCACUUUCAGCUUCUAAAUACCUCACUACACUGAACACCACUGCACACCACUCUAGCUUUCCUAUGCAUGGGGCACAGCUGAAAAGCUGUCAAAACGGAAUGAUGCCCUGGAACUCUGGAACUCUGCUGACACACUCAGAGAAACAGAUGACAAGAUGUGGAAGAAAGACUUGAUUUUGAUUUUUGCUUUAUAAACUCAGCAAAUUGGGCAAAACAGCAAAUGUCAGGUUCUAUCUCUGGUUCACUCCUGGCAAACCCAUGUUUUGUGAUUCUGUAAUGCCUCACAUGGUUAUACGACUUCUUUUCCAAAAUGAUGUCAUUUUGGAGAUGGGCUUUCAUCCUGAUCAUAUAAGGGGAACAGAUGUUGACUUGGUUGCACAAUCCUUGCCUUUGCAAAUAGGAAUCAGGGUUCCAUGUUUUCUUCACAUUUAUCUUUGUUUGGGUUAUUUAAUGCUGAGUCCAUGCCUUGUCUACUCAUCCCUCUACUGUUCUUUCUUUUCUUGAUAAGACAAUAAUGAAAAGUGGACAAACUUAGAAACAAAUAUAGGCCAGACGUUAAAAAAUAUUUUUUUUAAGUAGACAAGCUAUGAGUUAUGUUGUUAGUAAUAUGGUUCUUUCUACAUUGUUUUCUCUCUUUUCUAUAGUUUGGUCUUAUAUUCUUAGUUACUAGGCAGAAUUAUAAACUCAGAGUUUGGAGGGCCUCGUACAACUUUUCUAUCAGAUUGUUCUCCCACUUCUGUUGGAAUGCCUCCUCGACAGGCAACUUAACUAUCCAGAAAAGCAAUAUAGUAUAUGAGAUGUUGCUGGUCUCAGAGACAGGGGAUCUAGAUUUGAGUCUUGAUGCUGUGAUUUGCUGUUAUAUAUUCUUACCCUCUCUGAACCCUGGUUAUUUAGUUUGUGAAAUGGGGCUAAUAAAACAUUCAGUUCAGGCUGAAGGUAGGCUAGGAUAGCAGUGCCAUGGAGUCAACACAGAGUAAGAUGAACCAGGGUUGCUGCCAACGCCCAGCACCUGCUAAGUGACUCAGCAGAGAAGCCAGUCCCAGGAGGGCAGCCUAAAGUGUGCCUGAGGAGUGCAGAGUGACUGGGACUGAGAGGUCCCAUCAGGCCAGUUGAGCAGGGAUGCAGGGCGAGCCCUUCCUCAGUGGCUACUUAGGAAACAGGAGGCAAUAGUAGGUGUUAAGAUGAUGACUCAAAUUUAGACCUGCCAUUUAUUGUCUAUGCAACUCUAGACAAGUUAUUUAAUAUUUUUGACGGUCAUUUUUCUCAUCUGUGAAUUGAAACAAUAACAUCUAUUUGUGAAGUUGCUGGGAGGCUUAAAGUAAUUGAGAUAACAGACAUCAAGCAUUUAGCAAGAGGCCUAAUAUGUAACAAAUGCUUAAAAUGCUAACAAGCAGCUGAAAGGCGGCAUAGUUGAGGGACAUCUGUCCCUAUCUGGUAGGAUUUCUUCAAUAAGAGGACAGAUGGGGAGGGGGCAGGCUCUCCAUCUGGGAAGAGCCAUCUAAAUACAACUACAGCACAAAGCGUAAGGUGGGCUCUGCUCUUAAGAGGGGCUAUGCUGUUGAAUUAGGAGUGGGUGUCAGGCUUCAUUUGGGACUCCUGGGAGACUCAUGGCUCUCAUCCUACAUUACAGGGUGCCCAAGGCUUUGCAAUGGAGUGUAUCAUCCCAGGUUCAUCUGUCGACUGGGUGAGCUUCAUAUAUGAGCCUACAGACACAGCAAGAAGGCAGCUGUCUGCAAGCAAGGAAGAGGACCCUCACCAGAACCUUACAAUACAGGCACUCUGACCUUGGAUUUCCAUCCUCCAGAACCCAAAGAAAAUUAAUUUCUGUUGUUUAAACCACCCAGUCUAUGGUAUUUUUGCUACAGCGCCCCAAGCUGAUUAAGACAUCUGUUCAUGGGCUGCCUCUCCUACCACGCUGUGAGGACCUUUGGGAUGCAGCUCCAGCUCAGUUAACUCUGCAUCCUCAGAGGCGCACUCAGUACCUGGCGUCUAGUAGAUGCUCAAUAAAUAUGUCUACAGUAAAUGAAUAAAUACAUGGCUAUCA